AUAGGAAAGUAUGGAGGUCUAGUAUCAAGGUUGUGGGAUAGGGGCCCCUAGAGUUUUUCAUACUCCACACCCGGGGUUGGGUGAGGCUUGGCAGGCUUAUUCAUAGAUGAUUUGUGUAUUGGAUUUUGUCUUAUGCUAGUUACUGUCCGAUAUUAUUGCAUGAUAUUUUAUUUAUAGUUUUUAUGUUUUUUUAUUUUUAGGUUUUUAUGUUUAGAUGAUUAUUUACGUUAUUUGUGUUGAAGUUACUAAUGCUCUUUUGUUGUUUUUGUUGUUUUUGUUUUUGUAGUCCCUUUCCUUCACUGAGCCGAGGGUC
rnacentral:lncRNA from 1 species